rfam:Schistosoma haematobium scaffold1046_5, whole genome shotgun sequence.
AUCCAGUUGAAAAGUCGCAAAUAGGACGAGACGCGCAUCCUGGAU